AGAGUUUGAUCAUGGCUCAGAUUGAACGCUGGCGGCAUGCUUUACACAUGCAAGUCGAGCGGCAGCGCGGGGGCAACCCUGGCGGCGAGCGGCGAACGGGUGAGUAAUACAUCGGAACGUGUCCCGUAGUGGGGGAUAGCCCGGCGAAAGCCGGAUUAAUACCGCAUAUGCUCUACGGAGGAAAGUGGGGGACUCGCAAGGGCCUCACGCUAUGGGAGCGGCCGAUGUCCGAUUAGCUUGUUGGCGGGGUAAUGGCCCACCAAGGCGACGAUCGGUAGCUGGUCUGAGAGGAUGAUCAGCCACACUGGGACUGAGACACGGCCCAGACUCCUACGGGAGGCAGCAGUGGGGAAUUUUGGACAAUGGGGGAAACCCUGAUCCAGCCAUGCCGCGUGCGGGAAGAAGGCCUUCGGGUUGUAAACCGCUUUUGGUCGGAAAGAAAAGGCGCACCCUAAUACGGGGCGUUCUUGACGGUACCGGCAGAAUAAGCACCGGCUAACUACGUGCCAGCAGCCGCGGUAAUACGUAGGGUGCGAGCGUUAAUCGGAAUUACUGGGCGUAAAGCGUGCGCAGGCGGUUCUCCAAGUCCGUUGUGAAAGCCCCGGGCUCAACCUGGGAAUGGCAGUGGAAACUAGGGGACUUGAAUCUGGCAGAGGGGGGUGGAAUUCCACGUGUAGCAGUGAAAUGCGUAGAGAUGUGGAGGAACACCGAUGGCGAAGGCAGCCCCCUGGGCUGAGAUUGACGCUCAGGCACGAAAGCGUGGGGAGCAAACAGGAUUAGAUACCCUAGUAGUCC
rnacentral:rRNA from 1 species